rnacentral:rRNA from 1 species
AUGUUUGACGGAGUUGAGCGGAUGCUUCGGGGAGUCAGGCAUGUGCCAAGGCUAAGGAGGAAUCUAAUUUCGCUUGGUGUUCUUCAUGAUGGUGGUAUGGAAUUCCGUUCUGACCGGGAUAAGAAGACCAUGAAAAUCAUGAAAGAUGGGGUGACUGUGAUGAUAGGAGAGAGGACGGCUUCGCAUCUUUACAAGUUGCAAGGGAGCACUAUUGCAAGUGGAGCCAUGAGGAGUGGAGCUGCAAGAGUAGCAGUGGAGUCUCACGGUGGUGGCGGGUUUGGCCCGUCGGGUAGCUCUCAGUAA